rnacentral:rRNA from 1 species
UACGUAGGGGGCAAGCGUUAUCCGGAUUUACUGGGUGUAAAGGGAGCGUAGACGGCUUUGCAAGCCAGAUGUGAAAGCCCGGGGCUCAACCUCGGGACUGCUUUGGAAACUGUUAAGCUGGAGUACUGGAGAGGCAAGCGGAAUUCCUAGUGUAGCGGUGAAAUGCGUAGAUAUUAGGAGGAACACCAGUGGCGAAGGCGGCUUGCUGGACAGAGACUGACGUUGAGGCUCGAAAGCGUGGGGAGCAAACAGG